rnacentral:rRNA from 1 species
UACGUAGGGAGCAAGCGUUGUCCGGAAUCAUUGGGCGUAAAGCGCGCGUAGGCGGCCUCAUAAGUCCGUUGUGAAAGUCAAAGGCUCAACCUUUGAAAGCCGAUGGAUACUGUGAGGCUAGAGUCCGGAAGAGGCGAGUGGAAUUCCUGGUGUAGCGGUGGAAUGCGCAGAUAUCAGGAGGAACACCAAUAGCGAAGGCAGCUCGCUGGGACGGUACUGACGCUGAGACGCGAAAGCGUGGGGAGCGAACAGG